rnacentral:rRNA from 1 species
CGACCGGCGCACGGUGAGUAACGCGUAUGUAAUCUACCUGUAACAGAGGGAUAACCCGGAGAAAUCCGGACUAAUACCUCAUAGCACAUAUUAUUCGCAUGAAUUUUAUGUUAAAGAGACUCGGUUACAGAUGAACAUGCGUUCCAUUAGCUAGUUGGCGGGGUUACGGCCCACCAAGGCAACGAUGGACAGGGGUUCUGAGAGGAAGGUCCCCCACACUGGUACUGAGACACGGACCAG